rfam:Capsicum annuum cultivar Zunla-1 chromosome 3, whole genome shotgun sequence
AAAUUGUGGUUAGGACAUUGCAAAAGCUUUUUAUUAAACCUCUCCCAAACUUCAUAUAAAGGGUCCUCAUUAAGUUGACAAAAAUUAAUGAUUUCAUCCCGCAAUUAU